rnacentral:rRNA from 1 species
CUGAAAUUCGCCUUCAUGAAGCCGGAAUUGCUAGUAAUGGCAGGUCAGCAUACUGCCGUGAAUACGUUCCCGGGCCUUGUACACACCGCCCGUCACACCAUGAGAGUUGGGGAUACCCGAAGCCUGUGAGCCAACUAUAAGAGGCAGCAGUCGAAGGUAGAAUCAAUGAUUGGGGUGAAGUCGUAACAAGGUACC